UACGGGGGGGGGAAGCGUUGCUCGGAAUUACUGGGCGUAAAGGGCUCGUAGGCGGCCAACUAAGUCAGACGUGAAAUCCCCGGGCUUAACCUGGGAACUGCAUUUGUGACUGCAUGGCUGGAGUGCGGCAGAGGGAGAUGGAAUUCCGCGUGUAGCAGUGAAAUGCGUAGAUAUGCGGAGGAACACCGAUGGCGAAGGCAAUCUCCUGGGCCUGCACUGACGCUCAUGCACGAAAGCGUGGGGAGCAAACAGG
rnacentral:rRNA from 1 species